GACGAACGCUGGCGGCGUGCCUAAUACAUGCAAGUCGAACGAGUGGCGAACGGGUGAGUAACACGUGGGUGACCUGCCCUGCACUUCGGGAUAAGCCUGGGAAACUGGGUCUAAUAACGGAGAGUGUGGGAUGGGCCCGCGGCCUAUCAGCUUGUUGGUGGGGUAAUGGCUACCAAGGCGCGACGGGUAGCCGGCCUGAGAGGGUGGACGGCCACAUUGGGACUGAGACACGGCCCAGACUCCUACGGGAGGCAGCAGUGGGGAAUAUUGCACAAUGGGCGGAAGCCUGAUGCAGCGACGCCGCGUGUGGGAUGACGGCCUUCGGGUUGUAAAGUACUUUCAGCGGGGAGGCGUUACCCGCAGAAGAAGCACCGGCUAACUCCGUGCCAGCAGCCGCGGUAAUUC
rnacentral:rRNA from 1 species